GAUGAACGCUAGCGGCAGGCCCAACACAUGCAAGUCGAGGGGUAGCAGGAUUAAGCCUGCUUAAUUGCUGACGACCGGCGCACGGGUGCGUAACGCGUAUGCAACCUACCUUAUACUGGGGUAUAGCCCGGAGAAAUUCGGAUUAAUCCCCCAUAGUACUAAUGAAUCGCAUGGUUUAUUAGUUAAAGCAUUGCGGUAUAAGAUGGGCAUGCGUCCUAUUAGCUAGAUGGUGAGGUAACGGCUCACCAUGGCUACGAUAGGUAGGGGGCCUGAGAGGGUGGUCCCCCACACUGGUACUGAGACACGGACCAGACUCCUACGGGAGGCAGCAGUGGGGAAUUUUUCGCAAUGGGGGAAACCCUGACGAAGCAACGCCGCGUGGAGGAUGAAGGCCUUCGGGUCGUAAACUCCUGUCGACUGGGAAGAAUGCACCUGACCUAAUACGUCGGCGUGUUGACUGUACCGGUGGAGGAAGCCACGGCUAACUCUGUGCCAGCCGCCGCAGUAA
rnacentral:rRNA from 1 species